rnacentral:rRNA from 1 species
UACGUAGGGUGCGAGCGUUGUCCGGAAUUAUUGGGCGUAAAGAGCUCGUAGGCGGCUUGUCGCGUCGGAUGUGAAAGCCCGGGGCUUAACUCCGGGUCUGCAUUCGAUACGGGCAGGCUAGAGUUCGGUGAGGGGAGAUCGGAAUUCCUGGUGUAGCGGGUGAAAUGCGCAGAGUAUCAGGAGGAACACCGGUGGCGAAGGCGGAUCUCUGGGCCGAUACUGACGCUGAGGAGCGAAAGCGUGGGGAGCGAACAGG